rnacentral:rRNA from 1 species
UAGGGAAUCUUCGGCAAUGGACGAAAGUCUGAUCGAGCAACGCCGCGUGAGUGAAGAAGGUUUUCGGAUCGUAAAACUCUUUUGUUAGAGAAGAACAAGGACGUUAGUAACUGAACGUCCCCUGACGGUAUCUAACCAGAAAGCCACGGCUAACUACGUGCCAGCAGCCGCGGUAAUACGUAGGUGGCAAGCGUUGUCCGGAUUUAUUGGGCGUAAAGCGAGCGCAGGCGGUUUCUUAAGUCUGAUGUGAAAGCCCCCGGCUCAACCGGGGAGGGUUAUUGGAUACUGGGAGACUUGAGUGCAGAAGAGGAGAGUGGAAUUCCAUGAGUAGCGGUGAAAUGCGUAGAUAUAUGGAGGAACACCAGUGGCGAAGGCGGAUCUCUGGUCUGUAACUGACGCUGAGGCUCGAAAGCGUGGGGAGAAAACAGG